GGUCAUUGUGCCCGUCGAUCAAAGGCACCUCGGAAAGAACCUGCCUGACAGUGUCCAACCUUUCCUUCGACGACGUCAGGUGCGCAAUCUCGCCAUCGGCUGGCCGUGGCCCAACUUUGUCGACGCAGCUUCCAAUUAACAGUAAGAUCACAGUUGCUAUCCAGACACCGCUCUGACCGCCACACUGAAACAUCGAUCGUUUGUGAUAACUUGUAAACAAAAACAGACAAUUUGAGAAGAGGAGACUCUUGCGCAACAAUUGCUGUUCUCUCCAGUGCCUCCUGAACGCGAUAGGAUUCGCAUUUCGCGAUAGGAUCUCGCCUAAUUUAUCUUGGAAAAAUCGCCCGGACUUUUCUCAGCGUGCGUUCGCCGUUCAACGAAAAAUCGAGCUCGCGGAAUCGACGUCAACGCAGAAGAUCUCCUUUCACGGCGAACCGUGCGCACAGAGAAGAGGAAUCUCUCCGUUAUUCGUCCGAGUUAUCAUAUCGCCGAAGAGACGGAAUUUAAAUCGCGGGGUUAAGUGGCAUACGGGGGCCGCGUCGCACGGAUUAACGAUUCCCAAAGGCAUUAGCCGGGCAAGGAGGAAAUAAGUUGCUUUGACGUCGUCGUCCGCGCCCGCAGAGAUGCCGGGUUUCCGUAACGACGCCGUUCCUGUUACACGUUAAUCCUCGAGCGUUGUCCAUACUCGCCGCUAUUCCAAAGGGAGAAACGAAGGCGGACGAGCGGGGCCGAAGAGAGCCGGAGGGACGAGAGGGGAGCUUUGACGCACUUCGUCCAGAAAUAAUUUACUGUUUCGUCCUGUGAGUUGCAAAUGCAGCCGGCGCGCGCGCGACGACGACUGUCAUCGCCGGGGCUGCUGAGGGGCCUGAAUAGUUUAUGACUCCGUCAAAGGGCCAAGGGCGGCGGCGCGGCGCUCCUUUCGAGGAACGGUUGUUCGACGGAGACCCGGCUCUCCUCGGCUUUCAAAGGGCGUCGGAGCGCAGCCGACGAAAAACGAACCGCUCCAUUGUCGUCUCUCGAUUGCCCUGCUCCUCUCGUGCCCCCGCCCCGCCUCGCCCCGCACCGCUCCGUACCGUUUACUCGGCCCUGUUUUCCACGGCGCGAUUCAUUUUUGCCCGGCAGCCCGCGCGCGGCCCGACGGCCAUUUCUCCACCGCGGAAAGGUCAAAGGGCUCGAUUUUUAUCAACUUCAAUUCUUCGCAAUCCUUUGUGUUCCAACGACCGCGGGACCCAGCCGGUAAACACGUGCGGCAUUUUAUCGAUUCACGCCGUGUUUACCUAGAAAAUGUCGCAGUUUCUCGCGCGGUGUUGCGUCGUUUAUGUACUUAGCUGUUGUAAAUUCGUUGGCAAUAGUUAGAUAAUCGAACGCGCGUGCGAAAUAUCGAGACGUUCGAUUUUCUGUUCUCCCGUUCGCUGCGAUCUCGAGUUCGUCACAAUGCGUGUGUACUCUUGGUAAAACGUUUGCAGGAAUAACGAUUUUAAUAAGAA